UUGGAGGCCUGCCUGCCCAGUGAACUAAGCGUUAAACGGCCGCGGUAUUCUGACCGUGCAAAGGUAGCAUACUCAUUUGUUCUCUAAAUAGAGACUUGUAUGAGCGGCCACACGAGGGUUUUAGUGUCUCUUACUUCCUAUCAGUGAAAUUGACCUCCCCGUGAAGAGGCGGGAAUGAAUUAACAAGACGAGAAGACCCUAUGGAGCUUUAACUAACUAGUCCAAAAGAAAUAAAUUUAACCACCAAGGGAUAACAACAUCCUUUAUGGACUAGCAUUUUUGGUUGGGGUGACCUCGGAGAACAAGAGAUCCUCCGAGCGAUUUUAAAGACACUACUUACUCUGUCAAAUCCAAUAUUAUUCGACUCUAUAUGAUUCUCAAUACAAACGUUAGAAUACAAUCUGAGCAACCAAAGGUGUAUCACCCUAGGCGGGCAUUAUACCAUGACUGUCCAAAUGCACGUUACUCUCCUAAAUGCAGGAUCCACAAUUAAGUGCGGUAUCUUAACUAAAA
rnacentral:rRNA from 1 species